CUGCUGGGAGGUGAAGGAAGGGACGAGUGUGACGGGAGAUGUUAGAGGACAGGGUCAAUUGGAGAAAAAGGUGCAAAAUAACCAAGGCGUUGCUGUCAAAAAAUAUAUUUCACUGGAGACCGUAGCAGUAAAUAUGUGACCACAUGAGCAAUUAGUGCACAUACAUCACAACAAAGCUUAAGUGCUGUGCUACAGUAAUGCGCCAUGUCAUCUUUUCUAAUCUGGGGUUGACUAAUCCUCCAGUGUUCCUGAUCCAAGCAGGUGAACAGAAGCAGAGGCAAACACAAGGUAACAGGAAAACGUCCCCUCGCCUCUGCUGAUUGUUUGCAGUAUGGACCGUUUGUGUUGACCCUGCAGGGUGGUGGUGAACCCUUGGGGACCAUGUGCACCACCAUCAUGUUUCUCUCCACUCUGGCCUUUGUACUGCGGCAGCGUUUCACCAGCCGAGCCAAGACUUUUCCAAAAGACGUGGAGGAGAAGGAAACGUCCUCAGUGCAAAGUCCAGACCCGGCCAAGUGAGACUCACUGUUCUAACAGGAAUCAGAGGUGGGUUUUAGAUGUGGAGGCUGUUCUCAGGUCCAUGGAGAGACGGCUGAAUGCUUCGCUGGAGAAAUAUCCUGACUGUAAAAGUGGAAACCGCUCCGAGUGUCCUCCAUCUUCUUUAAGCCUCGGCAGAUCUCGCUCCAGUCAAUCAAGCUGAUCCGUGGCGUCGGCUUUAGAUCAACUUUCUGACAGCGAAACUCAACACACAUCACCUACUUUUGCCCCUGACAGACACUCUAAAAUAGACAGGCUUCAAGCUUGUUGAUGGUUAUAAGUGUUUUCUCUUCUACAGCACCAAAGAGGGGCUGUCAGGAAAGAUAGGAAGCCUAUAGAACUGUAGGCUUUGCAACAGAUAUGAUAGGCAGCUUUGAUUGAAUCCUGACUGCUACAAACCCUCCUGCAACGAUCUCUUCACUUCAGUUUGUAUGACAUUCAGGGGGGGAAGUAAUUUCACACUCGAGUGUAUCAUGACUCAACUGUCCCACAAGCAAUGAAAACUUCCCUUGAAAUGGCUUCCGAAACUUUUUGUCAUUACCAUGCUGCCGGAGCAGAAAUAAACAAGUGUUUUCUGUGAUGUA